GAUGAAGAACGCAGCGAAAUGCGAUAAGUAAUGCGAAUUGCAGAAUUUCCGUGAGUCAUCGAAUCUUUGAACGCACAUUGCGCCCACUGGUAUUCCGGUGGGCAUGCCUGUUCGAGCGUCAUUAUCCUCCCUCAAACCCCGGGUUUGGUGUUGGACCCAAGUUGUGUGAACAACUGGUCUCAAAGACAAUGACGGCGUCCGUGGGACCCUCGGUGCAACGAGCUUUUAGGAGCACGCAUCGAGUUGCAAGGACCUUCCGGGCCGGUCUCCUUUACCAUUUUACAAGGUUGACCUCGGAUCAGGUAGGAAUACCCGCUGAACUUAAGCAUAUAAUAAGCGGAGGA
rnacentral:misc_RNA from 1 species